UUGAUUUCUUCUUUACUGCUGGAUUGUAAUUUCAUUUUCUGGGGGGCGCCUGACCACAUUUAAGGUCUGUCAGCAGAAGGAGCAGCAACUGCACCUGGAGACUGCUUCCUUUAGAAUGUGGGGUGAACCCUUGAAACUGGGUGAGUGAGUCUUUAUUCCAGGGUUGCAAUAUCUUGUUGUUGGGGGGAUCCUGACCCCACUUAAGGGCUGGCGGCCUUUAAGGUGGUAUCUGUCUUUAGAGACUAUCUCCUUGGGAGUAUGGGGUGAGGUCUGGUCCUUGAGAAAGGAUGAGUGAUUCCUUCUUGUUUUAGGGCUGUGACCUUUCCUGUUUUUGGGGCACCAUGACCACAUUGAAGUGCUGGUAGAUGUAAGGGCAAUGUUGAUCUCUGGAGACUGUCUCAUAUGGAGCAGGGUAUCCUGACCACAUUUAAGGGGUGGAAGCCAUAAGGGCAGCAUCUCUACCUGGACACUGCUUCCUUGGCAGUGUGGGCUGAGUGUUCAUCUUUGGAAUGGGAAAGCCAAAGAUUGUCCUCUUCUGGGCUGCUGUACUCAGCAUCACCCCAGCGUGAUGAAGUGAAGACCCUGGUCUGCUGAAUACUGGGACUGGCCCAGAGAGGCUCUGAUGGAUGUGGAUUAUCCCAGCCGGCGUACUUGGUACCAUUGGUGGUGAUCUCGUCCAACUGCCACAAAACGAACAGGAACAUCCACAGCCAGAUCAGGCUGCCCAGAGCCUGAACCAGCCUCACCUUGGAAGGGACAGGGCAUCCAUCAUGUCUGGGUGUUGAAAGGCUGUUACCAGAUCACCUCGGAGCCUUCACUUCUGCAGGCUGAACAGCUCCAGCUCUCUCUCUUUAUAGGAAAGGCGUUCCAUCCCUCAGUUCAUAUCUGUGGCUGUUUUCUGGAUGUGCUCCAACAGCUCCAUGUCUGUCCUGCGCUGCGGACAUUCACAUCCAGAUGCAGCAC